UCUAAGCCAUGCAAGUUAGGUAGCAAUACCGGCGACAUGCUCAGUAACACGUAGUUAAUCUACCAUAUGGCAGAGGAUAACCUCGGAAACCUGAGGGUAACACUCUAUAAGGAAUGCAUUCUGGAAGGAGGCAUUCUUCAAACGUAAGGCCAUAUGAUGAGACUGCGGCGGAUUAGGUAGUUGGUAAGGUAACGGCUUACCAAGCCUAUGAUCCGUACGGGCCUUGGAAGAGGGAACCCGGAGAGGGACACUGAGAUACUGGUCCCAGCCCUACGGGGUGCAGCAGGCGCGAAAACUUCACAAUGCACGAAAGUGUGAUGGGGGGACUCAAAGUGCCUAUGUUUUACAUAGGCUUUUGCCGACUCAAAACUGGUCGGAGAAUAAGUGGUGGGCAAGACUGGUGCCAGCCGCCGCGGUAACACCAGCAUCACGAGUGGGAGUCGAUAUUAUUGGGCCUAAAGCGUCCGUAGCAGGCCUACUAAAUUGCUUGUGAAAUCGAAUAGCUCAACUAUUCGGAUUGCAGGUAAGACUGGUAGGCUAGAGACCGGGAGACGUUAGAGGUAUUCAAAGGGGAGCGGUAAAAUGCGAGAAUCCUUUGAGGACCACCUGUUGCGAAGGCGUCUAACAAUAACGGGUCUGACUGUGAGGGUCGAAAGCUAGGGGAGCGAACUGGAUUAGAUACCCAAGUAGUCCUAGCCCUAAACGCUGCGAGUUAGGUGUCGCGUAAUCUACGGGAUUACGCGGUAUUGGAGCGAAGGCGUUAAACUCGCCGCCUGGGAAGUACGGCCGCAAGACUGAAACUUAAAGGAAUUGGCGGGGGAGCACCACAAGGGGUGCGACGUGCGGUUUAAUCGAAUUCAACGCCGAAAAUCUCACCAGAGGCGACGGCAGGAUGAAAGACAGCCUAAAGGGCUUUCUUGACGAGCCGAGAGGAGGUGCAUGGCC
rnacentral:rRNA from 1 species